rnacentral:rRNA from 1 species
GGUGAACGCUGGCGGCGUGCUUAAGACAUGCAAGUCGAACGCAGUCUUCGGACUGAGUGGCGCACGGGUGAGUAACACGUAACUGACCUACCCCCAAGUCGCGGAUAACUGGCCGAAAGGUCAGCUAAUACGUGAUGUGAUGUCCCCUUUCUGGGGGGCCAUUAAAGGUUUACUGCUUGAGGAGGGGGUUGCGUUCCAUCAGCUAGUUGGCGGGGUAAAGGCCCACCAAGGCAACGACGGAUAGCCGGCCUGAGAGGGUGGCCGGCCACAGGGGCACUGAGACACGGGUCCCACUCCUACGGGAGGCAGCAGUUAGGAAUCUUCCACAAUGGGCGAAAGCCUGAUGGAGCGACGCCGCGUGAGGGAUGAAGGUUCUCGGAUCGUAAACCUCUGAAUCAGGGACGAAAGACGCGUAAGCGGGAUGACGGUACCUGAGUAAUAGCACCGGCUAACUCCGUGCCAGCAGCCGCCGUAAGAC